rnacentral:snRNA from 1 species
GGAAGGGGUCAGAAGAAGA